rnacentral:rRNA from 1 species
AGCUCCAAGAAUACGCAGAGGAGGUGGCCCGGGUCAGCGUCGGCGCCGUCCGGCGCGGGCCACGGGCCCGCUUCCAAGUGCGUCUGCACGCCGGCCACCCACGUCGGGUCCUUCAAGUGCCGCUUCUACCGCACCAACUCCCAGGGCCACGGCCAAGGCCAGGGAAGCCGCCCUUCUUCGCCCCCUUCACCGGCCGCGGCCAACGCGGUGCCGCGACACCCGGCCUCGUCGUCCUCGUCCUCGUCCUUCGGCUCCGUCGGGACCCAGUGA